rnacentral:rRNA from 1 species
UACGAGGGGUGCAAGCGUUGCUCGGAAUUAUUGGGCGUAAAGGGCUCGUAGGCGGUCUGUUGCGUCGGGAGUGAAAACUUACAGCUUAACUGUGAGCGUGCUUCCGAUACGGGCAGACUUGAGGUAUUCAGGGGAGAACGGAAUUCCUGGUGUAGCGGUGAAAUGCGUAGAUAUCAGGAGGAACACCGGCGGUGUAGACGGCUCUCUGGACCGUUACUGACGCUGAGAUACGAAAGCGUGGGUAGCAAACAGG